AAUUCCUGGUAAAACAACAGAAAUAAAAAAGGUCUCGAUAUUUGCACAUAGGAGGGGAGGUACCUUUCCUUGGUAGUUCCACGUUGUUGCCAUAUAUAAUGGAAUCAAGGAAUGGUUCAGGCUGGAAAGUCAGCUCUCCUGCCAUGGGCAGGGACACCUUCCACUAUCCCUGGAAGUGCCCAGCCUGGCCUUGAACACUUCCAGGCAUGGGGCAGCCAUAGCUUUUCUGGGCAGUCUGUGCCAGAGCCUCCCCACCCUCAUUGUAAACAAUUUUUUCCUUUAUAUAUCUAAUCUAAAUUGACACUCUUCUAGUUUUAAACCACCCCCACUGCCCUGUUGCAGCAGGCCCUGCUAAAAUGUUUGCCCCCAUCUUUUUUAAAAGCACUAAGGCACGCGCUCUCUCCUCUUUGGAUUUGAAGUCAGAAUGUGAAGUACAACUUUCUCCAUCGGCCCUGCAAGCCAGCAUGUGCAAGGAAACCUCCCAUCCUUGCCAAGGAAUGAGGGCAAAUUAAUGAGUGCUGGGGCUAGAUGUGAAAACAGGACAGAGUAAAGUGAUGAAUGUUCCAGCAUGGAUGACCAAAUCACUUUACAUUUCCCUUGGGGCCUUCUAAGGAGCCACAGCACCUUUUUUAGCUUGCUACUUUGUUUGUUCAGUUUGUUUUUUUUUUUCCCAUUGGAAAAGCAACUUGAAAACAAAGAAAACAGCAUUUGAGAAUGCUUUCCUAAUUUGUUAAAAUCACAGGAGCACUCGUUGACCUCGGUAGGGACGGGAGAUUUCUGACAGUUUUUCCUUCAAGUCCUGCUAUUAGUCAGACAAAAAAAGGUUAUGUUCAUGAUGAGACAUAUCUGCUCACUUAUUAUGUACAUCCUGGAGAGAUUAAACAGCUCUUGCUCUUCCAGGAAUUCACAGCCUAUUUCUUACAUUUGCAAAAAUUAAUCCUCAUUAUCCUUGAAUGGAAAAUGAUGGCACAAUUUUGAGCUAUGUCAACAAGUCACUCUUCUCCUGUGGACUGUGAGCCUCCACAUCAUGUGCUGGCAGUUCUUUACCAGCCUCACAGCCAUUCUGUUUUGUAGUUUGGCUUCCCGAACUUUCUCCAAGUUAGGAAAUUAAACUGUGCACUAUGCAGCACAGACCUCAACCAACACCACCAUUCUCCCCUUAAAUUUCAGGGGCACAGAACUGCAAAGUCAUUGUGCCUGGAAGGUUCAUCUGUAGAAGACCUUGCUUAGAGCAAACUCAGCUAAAGCAGGUCCUUCAGGGCCAGCUAUGGCCAGGUUUUUAAUAUCUCCAAGGAUAAAGAUUCCACGACCAAUUUGGGUGGCCUGUGCCAGAGUCCGAUUACCCAUGCAGACGAAAAAAAAGCUUUCUUUUCUUAUUUUAAAUGUAAUUUACUGUAUUUCAGUUUGAGCCCAUUCAUUCUUGUUCUGUCACUGGACACAGGUGAAAAGAUUUUGGUUCCAUCUGGUUUAAUUUUGCAGGUUGCCCAGAGAAGCUGUGGCUGCCCCUGGAUCCCUGGAAAUGCUCAAGGCCAGGUUAGAUGGGGCUUGGAGCAACCUGGGUUAGUGGAAGGUGUCUCUGACCAUGGCAGAGAUUUGGAACACAAUUGUCUUUAAGGUCUCUUUCAACUGAAACCAUUCUGUGAACCAUUCUACAUUUCUGUUAAGUUUUCCAGGGCUCCCACUGUGAUUUAACUGGAGCAACUUGCUCUUUGGAGCUGUUUUGGAAAUUUAUUCCACACAUGUUGGCAGUGUCAGCUGUUAAUCUUUUGGCAGGAUCUUUUCCAUUUAAGUUCAAUGAACAUCUCUGCAGGAUAUUCAGGAGGCUGUUCUGCUUCCAUCAAAACUUUAGUGACAACAGUACAGCAUGAAAGAAAGAAAAUAUCCCUUCCUUCUGCAGCAAGAGAUGUCAGUGCCUGCAGACCAGGAUGGAAUAAAUUUUUGAACUCAGCCUGGCUGCCAGCAGCAAACAGGAUGAUGGGGUCAGGAUCAGUGCUAAGCAGCAGUACCAGAAAGGGGACUGUGAGAGAUGCACAUGCCCUCCUCUCUCUUCUCCAGCCUGGUGCCAGCGGCCACACUCACCAAGAAGCUGCAAUAAAAUCUUGCUCUUUUAUCAAAGGCAGAGAUGGGACAGACCUGACUUUCCUGCAGAUGUUGGAGCUGAGGACAAAGCCAGCUCCUCCCCACAACGAUGCUUUUAUCAGCUCUGGGCUAUUUAAAGAGCAAGUGCUGAGCUCUGUCAGGGAUCAGCACUGAAAAGCAAAUGCCAACAGGGUGUCCCUUACAGGACAGGGAUACAUAAAUCAAGGAGCUGGAUAGAUAGUCUUAGAAAAAUGGUACAGCUUCCCCAAAACAUCCUCCUGCCUGCUUUAAAGAAAAAAACAUUUCUCUCUCACUAGAAUUUGCCUUCUCUCAUUUUCAUUCCUUUUUGUUAGUGACUUAGAUUAUGAGACACGUAUUUGGAUCUUCUUUUCGUUUCUAGGAGAAUUAGCUCACCCCAGAUGAAAGCUGUACUAGAUAUGCCCAUAGCAGCACAUCUCCCCAUCCUGUCCAUGUCCCAUGGUGCCAGGAGUGGUGUCACAUCAAGGGUUUCAUUGCCACAGCAUUAAACACCAUUUAAAAGCUGAUGUGGAAAUGGAAGGGUUGGUUCAUGUCUGAAAAAUGCAUCCUGCUCUACUGGAAAAGGUGUUGUUUUUCUUUUGUUUCAGACUGGGAAAGUAUUUAUGAAAUUCCUCUUUGCAUUGGUAUGGAAAAGAAAAUGAAAAGGCCAAUGAUGCACAGAGUCUAAAUCUGAGACUUUCCCUCUACUGGGCUGGUUCUGUGUGCUGGGCAUCACAUCAGCAGAAGGAGAACAAAUCAUAUUGGCAGAACUGCUUUCCAGGUGAUGCUGGAAGUCUGUGCUUUCCUGAUAUUGGACAGGCUGGAUUGUAAGCUCCUUGUCACCCGCUUCUGCAAUGAUUAGCACAAUUGAGCCUGACUGUAGAAGCAUAGAUGGAACACAGAUAAUGACAUUACUGCUUCAUUUAACUAAAACCCCAGCCUGCAGCACCAGAAGCUUCCUUUGCCUCUCUCAGGAACAACCAUGACUUGGCUGUACUCACCCCUAGAAUAUCGGGAAACAUGGGAAGAUGAGAGAAAAUUAUGGGGUGAAACAUGGGAAGAUGGGAGAUAAAAAUGGGGUGAAACAAGCGUGGUGGGUUCACUGCUCACCAGGCACCUGGUGCCUGACCUUGCGUUAGUGAAUGUUAACUAUUCCUGGUAAAUAAAGAGCUGGUGGGAUUAAA